AUUGAACGCUGGCGGCAGGCCUAACACAUGCAAGUCGAGCGGAUGAAGGGAGCUUGCUCCUGGAUUCAGCGGCGGACGGGUGAGUAAUGCCUAGGAAUCUGCCUGGUAGUGGGGGAUAACGUCCGGAAACGGGCGCUAAUACCGCAUACGUCCUGAGGGAGAAAGUGGGGGAUCUUCGGACCUCACGCUAUCAGAUGAGCCUAGGUCGGAUUAGCUAGUUGGUGGGGUAAAGGCCUACCAAGGCGACGAUCCGUAACUGGUCUGAGAGGAUGAUCAGUCACACUGGAACUGAGACACGGUCCAGACUCCUACGGGAGGCAGCAGUGGGGAAUAUUGGACAAUGGGCGAAAGCCUGAUCCAGCCAUGCCGCGUGUGUGAAGAAGGUCUUCGGAUUGUAAAGCACUUUAAGUUGGGAGGAAGGGAAGUAAGUGAAUACCUUGCUGUUUUGACGGUACCAACAGAAUAAGCACCGGCUAACUUCGUG
rnacentral:rRNA from 1 species